GAGAUCUGCCUGCUGCAUCCAGAGGAGAGAAGGCUUGGAGCUUGGGUACGGCUUCUCUCUGACUCUGAUUUUCAUGGUCAGAAGCUUGGUGUUUCCAAGCUGUUCAGCUGAGGAGUAGGCCUUAGACCAGGUGAGUAGGUGACUCCUUCCCUUGUCAUCGUCGUCGUCGUCGUCGUCGUCGUUGUGAACUGGCUGAGGUCUUCCUGAGAUCCCCAUCCUCAUACCUCCACCCUCGGGUCAUGGAGAGUUCCCACUACCAGAAGCCAGGCUUUCUCUGUGGGAUCUGGAUCAUGUGGUACUUCCAAGUAUUCUGGCUUGAAGCCUGAGUCAUUGGUGUGCCUUGGCCGAGGCAUGAAAUUAGGGCUAUCUUCUACGAAUCGUGGUUAAUGUGUCUAAGGGGGUGGAUCUCACUUGAGAGUAAAUUCAGCUACACCAAACAAUAACUUAAGCAAAUGUGGGACAGACAGGCAAUGUGAGGCUCAGAGAGUGGCUGGAAGAUGUCAGGGAGAAGUCAGAAUUGCUUCCUGAGUCACCGUCUAUAGUGAGUACCCUUAGACUUUGUUGCUAAAAACUGGCCACCAGACCCUAGCCAUCACAUCAAUGUUC
rnacentral:lncRNA from 1 species